UCCGCAUCAUGGGGCGUCAAUGUCCAGCCCUACUCCGGAUCUCCGGCCAAUUUCGCCGCCUACACCGCCUUGCUUCAGCCUCACGAUCGUAUCAUGGGCCUCGAUCUACCUUCAGGUGGUCAUCUGACGCAUGGAUACUAUACGUCCGGUGGGAAGAAGAUCUCUGCUACUUCGAUCUACUUUGAGAGCCUUCCGUAUAAGGUCAACUUCACCACUGGUUACAUUGAUUACGAUAAGCUUGAGGAGAAGGCCAUGGAUUUCAGGCCUAAGUUGCUCAUCUGUGGUGGUAGUGCCUACCCUAGGGAUUGGGAUUACGCUAGAUUGAGAGCUGUUGCUGAUAAGGUUGGAGCUCUCUUGCUCUGUGACAUGGCUCACAUCAGUGGACUCGUUGCUGCUCAGGUAUAUUACCUACUACUCUCUUGUUGUAUGUUUUCAGUUUCUCAGAUCUGGUUUUUGUUUAGUGUUUUGAAAGGGCAAGAGCGAAGAUCUGGAUUUGUAGAACUCUGAUUCCGAAUCAAUUACACAUAUCUCAUAUCUGUUUGCAUUCAUGCAUCAAAUCUAGUGUUUUCAGGGUGUAUUAUUAUCGAAUGAGAUUGUUCCAAAGAACAAAUCGUAUCUCAUUUCACUCUCCAAGAUAAAGUUUUGAUUUUUGUUUGUAGUUCUAAACACCUUUACGCAUGCGUAAGUGAACGUACCAUGGGAACUUAUAAGUCUGAUUAAGUGCUGUGGCUACUCUAAUGUUAGUUGAAAUAUUGAGUUUUGUGCAGUUAACCUGAGAGCUGAUUGAGUUUUUUUUUUUAAAUUUAUAUUCACAGGAAGCUGCAAACCCCUUUGAGUACUGUGACGUUGUGACAACCACAACCCACAAGAGUUUGAGGGGUCCAAGGGCUGGUAUGAUCUUCUACAGGAAGGGCCCAAAACCACCAAAGAAGGGACAAGCCGAGGGUGCAGUCUAUGACUUUGAGGACAAAAUCAACUUUGCUGUGUUCCCUGCGCUUCAAGGUGGUCCUCACAACCACCAGAUCGGUGCUCUAGCUGUUGCGUUGAAGCAGGCUAAUACUCCUGGUUUCAAGGUCUAUGCGAAACAGGUGAAAGCCAAUGCUGUUGCCCUUGCAAACUACCUGAUGGGUAAGGGAUACAGUAUCGUAACCGGUGGAACUGAGAACCACCUUGUUCUUUGGGAUCUUCGCCCUCUUGGAUUGACCGGUAAGUGAAUAAUAUCUCAGAGUUCCUUUGAGACAAUAUAUUACACGGAACUAGUCCUGAUGUUUUUUUUAAACUCUGCUUCUGUCAGGUAACAAGGUUGAGAAGCUUUGCGAUCUGUGCAACAUUACUUUGAACAAGAAUGCUGUCUUUGGAGACAGCAGUGCUCUUGCUCCUGGAGGUGUAAGAAUCGGUAAGAGAGUGAGAUUGAUCGAAAUGUUCCUGGAACUCCCUUGCUGGACUUUGAAAAUAUAUCUAAAUAAUGUUUUUCUUUUGUAGGUACUCCUGCGAUGACAUCAAGGGGAUUGGUGGAGAAGGACUUUGAGAUGAUAGGAGAGUUCUUGAGCCGAUCAGUGACACUGACAUUGAACAUCCAGAAGGAGCAUGGUAAACUGUUGAAGGACUUCAACAAGGGUUUGGUGAACAACAAAGAGAUCGAGGAGCUCAAGGCUGAUGUCGAGAAGUUCUCAGCCUCCUAUGAGAUGCCUGGAUUCCUCAUGUCUGCGAUGAAGUACCAGGAUUAGAGAUUUCCUCUCUCUAUCAAAGAGUAAUCUCUUAUUAUCUCUAUAUAUAAUAUGCUUUUGUAGGGCCGCCUGUUUGGCAUUCACAAGGCGAAGAGAUGAAGAAACAAACAGUAAAAUACAAAAAGGGUUUUCUUGAGUAAUUUCUUCUUGGAUGUUUUUAUUUUCUCUUAUUGAAAUUGUUGUAUUUUGUUGGCUUUUUAAUAAUAUCAAGCGAGUUUCUAUUACUGACGAUCAACUUUAAAUUGUGUGUGUUUGUCUGGUUUACGAUCGGUGUGUCAAAAUGCUUAUACAUUUUUUAUCCGGAUUAGGGAACAAGUAGCACAUACCAGCAUAGCUAUAAAAAGUCGAAAAAAGCAGGCAAAGUGGUAAAGAUUAAGGGCGUGAUUAGCAAAUUGCAACGGGAAGGAUUUGCUGAAAGCAGCUAGUAGUGGUGUGAGUCGUAAGCGGUGAACUGUAGCUAGAGCGCUGUGAGCGAAAAUUAAAACAAAAAAAAAAUUGAAAUUAAUUUAUUUAAAAUUUAUUUUAAUUAAGAUAUAAUUUAAAACAAUAAUCUAAAACUUCAAAUUAAUACAUCGACAUAGUCAUAUUUCGAAUACCAGUCGUAUAUACACUGUACUAUAUAAUCUCUUCUUUGGGUUUCUUUAUUAGAAUUUUUUUUUGAGCAUCUCUUUACUAGAAUCUAAUAAUUCAAACAAUUCAUCUUUCAUUUGUCCGUACUUAUGAAUAUCUACAUCUUUUGUUGAUUUCAUAUGAAGCUAUGUAAUAUCAUAGUCGUUAUCACAAUUUUAAAUAGGGUUUGUAGAUAUGUGUUAGAUUUCAUAUGAAGCUAUGUAAUGUUAUUGUCUUUUUGUUUUGAGACGGCUCAUAAACCAACUUCAAUACUCAUAUAUAAACCUUAUGUUAACACAAUGAAAAAAGUAACAUCAAAGUUUCGCUCUUUUUCUUCCUCGUUACUUAACUGGCAUAUAAAGACAAAACACUUAAACAAUAUUAUAAAUAUAUAAUAAUAAAUAUUAAUUUAUCUUUUAUAUUUCCUCGCCAAACUUACAACACAUUAUCAACACAAAUGCUCUUAUACUAGCAAGAUGAAAUUUGAUUUAUAUCUUUUAAUAUAUUUAAUUUAUUAUAAUUUUAUUAUUGUUUCAUAGUGAUAAUCUCUGUCUUCUCCGUUUAUUUGGGAUGAUAGAUUUUGCUUUCUCAAAUGAUCGUUAUGGCAGACUAUGCAUUUACGAUCAGAAGAUCACGUGGUAGACUUUGUAUCAGUAAAUAUAAAAUAGUCAAUAUGGUAAACUGUGUCUUCUUAGACUAUAUGGGAGGUUUUGCUUCCUUGAAUAUGAAAUGAUCAAUAUGGUAGAUUAUGUCUAGUCAUAACACAUGAGAAUGUAGAUCUAGUUGGGUACAAAUGAGUAUUCAUGAUAAAGGUAAAUUAAAAGAAUGAGGUAACACAAUAUAAAGCCCGACUAGUUGCUCAAAGUUUUUCUCAGUGACCAAAAAUUUAUUUUGAGGAAACGCAUUCUCUGAUAAUAAAUGCAAUUACGUUUCAAUUUUUGAUGAGCUUAGCGGUAUCUAAAAAUCUUGAAAUUCAUCUCAUGUAUGUUAUGAUAGCAUAUUUGUAUGGAUCACUAGAUAAUGGUAUACACAUGAAAAUCUCUGAAGGAUUGAAAAUGCUAGAAGAAUUAAGAGCAAAAUCUACAGAGAUUUGUUUGGUCAAAUUACAUCGAUCACUAUACAUUUAAAAAAAAUCUGGAGGCAUCUGUUAUAAUUUCUUAAGUAAAUAUCUAUUAAGAAAAAGAUAUGGGAAUAAUGCGAUAUGUCCAUGCGUAUUUGUUAAGAAAUCGUCAUUUGGCUUCGUGAUCAUUGUUGUAUAUGUGGAUGAUCUGAACAUAAUUGAAACUCAGAAAGAGUUUGAUGAUGCACUAACUCAUAUGAAAGAAUAAUCUAAAAUGAAAGAUCUCGACAAGACAAAGUUUUGUCUUGGGCUCCUGAUCGAGUAUUGUCGAGAAGGAAUAAUUGUGCAUCAAUCAAAUUAUAUGAAAAGAAUAUUGAAACGAUUUUGUAUAGAUAAAGCUACUCCUUUGAGUACUCCAAUGGUUAAUAGAUCUUUCGAUAUUGAGAAAGAUCAUUUGGACCCUGUGAAGAUAGCGAAGAAAUAUUAGGUCCUGAAGUACCUUGCAUGAACCUUAUCGAUGGACUUUUAUAUAUUGCAAAUUGUACUAGACAUGAUACGUUUUUGCUACUAACUUACUUGCAAGAUAUACUUCUUUUCUUACUCGCAGGCAUUGGAACAUAAUAAAGCAUAUAUUCCAUUAUCUUUAAGGUAUAGUUGAUUUAGGAUUAAUUUAUCAUAGAAAACCUGAGUUUGUUAUGGUUGGUUUUGCAAAUGUAAGAUACUUAUAAGAUCCUUAUAAAGCUCGAUAGCAAACCGGACACGUUUUUACUAUUGGUGGAAUUGCAAUCUCAUGGCGUUUCCAGAAACAAACUCUGGUUUCAACUUCUUCAAAUCAUGCAAAAAAUAUUGCGCUUCACGAAGCAUGUUGAGAAUGUGUAUAGAUUACUAGAUUAGGCCAAUGCGUCAUCACAUACAAGAAUCAAGUGGAAUAGUUACCAAGAAAGAGCCAUUGAAAAGUGUGUAAAGAUAAUUCGGCAUCUGUCGCUACACUCAAAGAAGGCGGCUAUAUCAAAGAGCGGUAGAGCAAAACAUAUUCCUCCAUGAUUUUCUCUUACAUACAGGAAAUCGAGAAAAAUCAAGAAGUGGACAUCGAGCAUAUAUGAUCAUUCGACAAUUCAGCUGACUUGUUCACAAAGGCGCUUUCCACUACACCAUUCCGAAAACACGUUUAUAGUAUUAGAAUUCACCAUUUGCAUGACCUAUAAAGAAAAAUUCAUGUCUAUCAUUCUCAGGAAGAGAUUAUGUGAUUGUAUUAUUUUUCCCUUGUCAUGGUUUUUUAUCCCAUCAGAAUUUUCGAUGAUUAGAUUUUUAAUGAGACAAUACGUAAUACAAAAUAGAUAAGUAAUAGGAAUAUAUAUAAUGCUUUUCUAUUAUAAGAUAAUGUUUAUUUAUAAGUUUUGUCUUUUUGUUUUGAGUCGGCUCAUAAACACUACACUAAUCCUAUAUAAUCCUACACAAUAAGAACAGUAACAUCAAAAUUUUACUCUUUUUCUUUUGUUACUUUAUUGUCAUAUAAAGACAAAAUACUUAAAUUAUAAUAUAAUAUUACACUUUGAUCUGCGCAACCGCGCGAGUAUUUGUUUUCAGUUUUAAAUUUUUCUUUGUAUUAAAUGUCAUAAUAUAAGUAUGUAAAUUUAGACGUAUUACAUAACUUUAGUCCAAAUAAUAAUUACAUUGAGUAAUUUUAUUUUUUGUAAUUUGUCAGUUUAUUAUAUCACCAAUAUUAAGUAUCAUAUAAAGAAACCAAACAUAUGUAAAUAAUUGGACUUAUAUAUGAAUACCCGCCCAGAUGUGCUUUUUAUAUAUCCAAUUUAUUAUUGAUCAAGUUUUAAAUUGUCUGUAAAUUAUGUUGAUUGCUCUAAUCUAUUUUGGAUAUGAACUAUCGAACUAUGAAGAUUAAUCUGCGUGUAGACAUGUAUACUUAUCUUUUCAUACUAUAACACAUAGUUUAUAUAAUUAAUUAUUGGAUUUCUUGUUUAAUAUUUGAUAUUUUUAAUAUAUUAUCAAAAAUAAAUUUAAAAUUUUAUAAUGUAAUAUAACAAUUUCACAUACUUUAUUAUUUAUAUUUAUAAUAUUGAAAAAGUUUGAUCAAAUUUAAAUAAUAGUAUGAUUUUUACAUACUUGGUUAUGUUAUAAGGUUUUGAAAUUUUUAAGCAAGGAAAUUUUUUUGUUUGUUGAAAUUAUGUUUUGGGUGUACGAUAGAAUUGUAAUAUUGAACAUGUGUGCAAGUGAAACUAUAUAUAAUGGGGAUAUGAAACCCCAGAGUAAAUGAUAUAUCUCAACCUAUUUAGCAAAUAAAAACUCGUGUAUUUAAUUCCACAUAAGUAACAUCAAAAUUUCACUCUUCUUCUUCUCUUACUUUAUUGUCAUAUAAAGACAAAACACUUAAACUAUAAUAUGAUAUAUAAUAAUAAAUAUUAACUUUUUUUAUAUUUUCUCACCAAAGUUACAAUAGUAACAAUAUUUUCAAAUCCACAUUCUCGUGAUUUUUAUAGCCCAUGAUCAUUUUUUAAAGAUCACACAACUGUUGAAACAUUUCCUAUAUGAUUUCUUAUAAUCUCUUAACAUUUUUGGUUAUGAUAUUUUUUUGACAUCAAACGACUGUUUUAUUAAUCAAGCUUGAGAUGGUAUGAGAAACCAGACCGAAAGAGAACAACCAAUGUAGUACAUAUCCAUAUGAAAGGAUCUUGCUAUCCUAGCUAAUGAAUCAGACGAUACAUUUUCAAACAGAGGAAUAAAAACAAUCGAGAACUCAAUGAAUCUACUCUUCAGCUCCAUCAACUCCUUUAAUUGAGUGGAAAAGUUAGACCAUGCUCCUGAAUCUUGAUCACCGAGACUAUAGCCUUGCAAUCUGUGCCAAAAACCUAACAUGUCGAUAGAUGAAGCAUGCACUCCAUCGAGCUCCGAGUGAAGUUGUGAGAUUCUUCGUUGUUGGUUUCGUGCUCCCAAUAGCUGAGUUACUUCUCUAGAAUUUGUCCAUGUCCAUUCAUAACCACUGAAGAGUGCGUCAUGUGUCCAUGAUUCAUCUAUCAUGCAUAUCUCAGAAUUUGCUAUCUGUUCAGAGAACAACCAAUGUAGUACAUAUCCAUAUGAAAGGAUCUUGCUAUCCUAGCUAAUGAAUCAGACGAUACAUUUUCAAACAGAGGAAUAAAAACAAUCGAGAACUCAAUGAAUCUACUCUUCAGCUCCAUCAACUCCUUUAAUUGAGUGGAAAAGUUAGACCAUGCUCCUGAAUCUUGAUCACCGAGACUAUAGCCUUGCAAUCUGUGCCAAAAACCUAACAUGUCGAUAGAUGAAGCAUGCACUCCAUCGAGCUCCUAGUGAAGUUGUGAGAUUCUUCGUUGUUGGUUUCGUGCUCCCAAUAGCUGAGUUACUCCUCUAGAAUUUGUCCAUGUCCGUCCAUAACCACUGAAGAGUGCGUCAUGUGUCCAUGAUCCAUCUAUCAUGCAUAUCUCAGAAUUUGCUAUCUGUUCAGAGUUUGUGUAAUUUCUGGUUCUUCCUAUUUGUGAUUUGCUUCCAACCAGACAUAGCAUUCGAACUCAGUAUGUCAGACAAUUUCCAAUGGAUCCAUGUCUACCCCUCUGAAUAAUUUAUCAUUCUUCUCUUUCCAAAUGUACCACAUAAUCUAAAGAUAUGAAUUUUUAUCCAGCUCAGGGUCUUCUAUAUCGUUCUUCCUCCGAAAACAAAAUCCAUGUUCGUAUAAUAGUUUGCACUGAAAACAUCGCUGGUAGAUUCUGGAUUGCUGCAUGUGCCCAUGUCUGUAAAACUGGAGAUAAUGGCACUCGGCAUAAUUAAUUAAAGUUAUUAUUUGCAUUGCAUGACAUCAUCUAUAACCUUUUGCAAUGUGGUUAUUUAACCAGAUACAUAAAUUUUUAAAAUUGUUAGAUAUGGAUCUGUAAAUAUUCACAUAUAUUUAAAUAUACUGAAAUAACUAAAACAAUUAAAUAAUAUUAUUUUAAAAUAGUAAAUAAACUUAAAAGUAAAUAAUUGAUCAUAUAAUAUUUUCUAAUUAAUUUUAUUAAAAUUAUAGCGCUUUGGAUAUUAAAAUACUAAAUCAUAAAACAAUUUUUAGUUUUAAUGACGUUAAACUAUUUUUAUUUUUUACGUAUCAUAUAGACUAUGUUAUAUAUAGAUUAUUAAAAUAUAUAUAUGAGCGAAUUUGAAGCGAAUCCAAAAUUUCUAGUAUUUAUAUUAUAAUUAUUUGUAGGAAAAUUUGGACUCCUACCAACGCAUUUUCCUCUAAUUAGGACAAUAGCAAUUUCAACUGUUUGAACACUGUGCAAAUUCACAUAUGACACUGAUACCCUACACGCCAACCUCCAUGAAUUAUGUGUUUUGAAUAGGCAAAAUCUUAUGUCUAGAUACGCAAGGAUCCUAUUUUCUGACAUCUUCAUCCAAAUCCUUUAAUGUAAGAUUGGUUUUUCAAUUAACCGCUUGGUUUCAAACUAUAUUUUUCAAAUUUCAAAACCAUAUCUCUCUUCAUACAAUUCUCUCUCUAUUUUUCUGUCUCGAGAAAAUCAUUCUUAAACAGAAACCCCUAAAAUCUGCCAGCGAGCUCGUGAGAAAAUUGAGAACAAUAAUUCGCAACCUCCACCAUACCCUGGAGAUAAGUACAAACUUUGCUUUAUUGGAUCGCGAAUCUAUGACCGUUGAUUCCUCACUGCUUUCUGCGACUUUGCCGGCAACUACUCUGACGGCGGCUUGGCUUGCUCCUGGGUUUCGAUUUCAUCCGAUUGAUGAAGAACUCGUGAGCUAUUACUUGAUAUCUACAAGCAUGAGCUUUGGGAAUUUCCAGGUUAUCUAGAUUUCUUUAUCUCUUUAUUUUUUUUUAAAUGCAUCUUUGUGAUUUGGGUUUCUUUGUGAUGUGAGUUACUUGUUUCUGAUUUGGCGUCUUUGUGGUUUUGUCUCUUGACUUAAUUCUAGGAAAAUAGUUUAGCUUUAUGCGUCAUUUUUUGGAAAAAUUUAGUUGUAUAUUUACCCCUUUGCUAUGUUUAAGUUGUAAACCUGCAACCUAAAUCAACAUAUUAAUAGUGCAAAAGUUAGCAUUUUGGGCAGAUUCCACAAGAGUUUCUUGACAUCUUGUGCUUCAAUUUUAUUUGCUUUUGUUUUAGGGAAUGACUUUCUUGUUAUGUGUUUGUCUAAUCAUUCUUUUUAUAGCUAAGAUUAUUCUUAGCUGAGUUGUGAAUGUUUUAUCCUGAUAAUAACAUUUUCUAAUAUUUAUAUUUCAUUUUGGUGAAGCUAAUAAUAUGUUUAAAAGGACACAUAAAAUUUUAGCUGUUACACACCAAUAUGUAGGCCUGAGACGGAUCGGAUAUCCGGGCAAUUUUAAGGUAUCCGGAUCCUUAUCCGGCGGAUCCAUAAUUUUACUAUCCUUAUCCGGAUCCGGGGUUCUCGGAUAUCCGGGUGUCGGAUAUCCUUCUAAAAAUUAUAAUAUCCAGCGGAUAUCCGGAUCCGGAUUUGGAUCCUUAAAAUAUAUAUAAAAUAAUAUUAAUAUAUAAAAAAUAUGAAAAAUAAUUUAAAAAAUAAAAAAAAUAUAUAAUGUUUUUAAUUAUUUCUAUGUAUAAUAUUACAAAAUUUACAUAAAAUUUAUAUAUACUAUUAUAAAAAUAAAAAUAUAUUAAAUAAAUUAAUUUGUAUAUAUAAAUAUUACUAUUUUUAAAAUAUUUAUUAAUAAAACUUACGGAUCCGGAUAUCCGGACUAAAAAAUUAAGGUAUCCGGAUCCGGAUCCGGCUUUGACGGAUCCAAUAUUUUACUAUCCGGAUCCGAAUUCGGCCCCUCCUGAUAUCUGGAUUUUCGGAUCGGAUCCGAAUCGAAUCUCGGAUCUCGGAUAAAAGUCUCAGGCCUAGUACACACGUUAGAAAAAGUAAUAUUUUCUUUUUUCUACUUUAUCUGUGUGCAGGUCCGUUCCGUCGUUUCUGGAUGCCUAAAGCAAAAGACCAACUUGGCCUAUAUACACAAAACAUAUUAAUAAAAUGUAACAUGAAGGAGUCGAAUCCAGGACAAGACAGACAUAGGAAGUCGCUAACUUCUACUAGACCAGCUUGUUCUUUCAUAAAUAUUGCCCCUAAAUAUCUAUAUAUUUUGUGGCACCUAAAGCUGGUGUUUUACCAGCUUUACCCCAGGGUCGGUAUUGUCUGUGUGGAGGUAUUGGAAACGUUUAUGACUACGGUUACAACUCACAUCUUACAGAAUUUCCUCUACAUUUCCAUCACUUAAAGAGAAAAGGAGUUUUAGAGCUUGAUUGGUUACGCCUGUAGCUUUAAAAAAUUGACGUAGAAUUGAAGCCGUAAAUUUUAUGAUGUAUAUGUAGAAUUAUAGGUCUAGAAUUUUUGCUCUGAGCUCUUUUAGGGAAAAUAUGAUUACCAAAUAUCAUCUAUAUAUUUAUUAUAAUAUGUUCACUAUAAUUAAAUUGAAAUCAAAAUCAAUUUGGGAAACAUUUACUCCGUUUCAAAAUGACCGAGGUCUUAGAGUGUUUACGCAUAUUAAUAAAAUAUACUAAAUCUGAUUUAAAUAUAUUAUUUUGUGAUUAACUAUUUUACAUAACUUUUAACCUAUAAAAAUUAAUAAAUAUAAUUAUUUUUAAAGUUUAUGAAAUUUAUAGUUAUAUAUAAUCAACAUAUGUGAGAUUUUAUUUAUAUUUAUGAAAUUUAUAGUUAUAUAACAUAUAACUAUAUAUAUAUAUAUAUAUAUUCUCCACAUAGUUUAAGAAUGUCUUUGUUUGGUCCUUAAAUGAAUUAAACACACUUAUACAGACUUGUUGAGGUCUUGCAAAGUCUUUACAGUAUGAACAGGUCAAAAUCAAAUGAUGAGUAGAGUAACUACUUCAGUUCAUCAUUUGGUUGUCAAACUGGUUUUGGUUUAGUGGGUCUAGUUUGGUUUUGGUUAUUGUGAUUUGUGUUGAUUUGAUAAAAAUCAUAUGCCAAUACUUGAAUUUGAAGACAGCAUCAAUAUACUUUCUUUUUUGGAUUGUCAACACCAUGAGAUAUAAGAGAACCACAACUUAUAUAAGCUACUUGUUCAAAUAAAUCAAUAGCUCAAAAAAAUGCAAAUCGUUUAUUUUUUGUCGUGAAAAAAUACAAAUCUUUAGUAUUUGCUAACGUUCGUUCAAAUUAAUUAUUGAUAUACAAUAUAUGUCGGGUAAAUGGCCAUCAAAUAAUAUUUUUUAAAUUUUGUGAAAAUGAUGCUUUUGUAAGUGGAAUUUAUUUAACGUAAUAAAGAAGAUAAACGUUCACAUCAUAGUUUUAACAGCGUAUGUUCUUCUGAACAAAAGAAAACGAUUUUAAUAAUAUAGUUUCAGCAUAUGUCGAUAUCUAAGUUUGAAAUCAUUUAACUAGUGAACUAUUAUUAGAUCCGACAUAAGCCAAUAAAGAAAAUCCAAAUGAGUUGCAUGGGUCUGUUUGAUAUUGCAGGGGUAUUUUGGUCUACACCCAUAAUUUCCCAUUUGCGCCCAUUUUAUCUCUUUGGAUUCUCUCAGCUACACCCACCGACUAUUUGCAAUUUCCCACAACUAUCCCUCGGAAAAUUCAAAUACUGUAUUACAGAAUCUUGACACUGGAGUGACAGCUAGAACAAGAAUCCACUAAUAAGUGAAGAAAAAUAUAUACUCCUACUACAUAUUUUCUUUGAUAUUUACAGACAUGUGCGACUGUUUUCUAAUAUUUGAAUCUAACUAUGCUUAAAAUCUUUAUAAAUUAUGUUAUUGCUAAACCAAACGGUAACAUCCCGAGUUAUGAUAUAUGGAAAGGCUUAAGAGAAUUGAUUUGGCUACAUAUGUCACUAAAGUACGCUUACUUUUUUCGUCACACAUCUGUUUAGAACUCCCAAGUUAAGCGUGUUUAGACUGGAGUAGUGAAAGGAUGAGUGACCCAUGGGGAAGUGAUUCGUGAUACCGUGAUAGUGAGACCAAAACACGAGGAAAAGUCAGGUGGUGAUUGCAAGGUCAGAAAACAAUGAUUUCGAACCUUGAAAAAUUAACGGACUAAUCGUUGGAACGGGAUGGAGUCCAAGGGCCGAGAGAGCGGGCGUGGCAGCCCAUUAACCGUGAGUGGUCAGAGCGUUACAAGUGGUUUCAGAGCUGGUUAGCUAUCUCGGUUCUGACACGAAAGGCGUCUUGAGACUUGUCAUGGGGCGCAACGAGAACGUUGCGUUCUUUGAGAGAUGGUGAAUUGUAACAUCCCGAGUUGUGAUAUAUGAAAAUGGGCUUUGUGGUGCUUUCGCGUGGAAGUUGGUGGAAAGGGAAUAGAGAGAGAAGAUGUGAUGAUAGAGAGUCUCAGUUUUUUUUUUAAACUGCAAGUAAGGAAAUAGUGAGAGAAGAGUUACCCAAAACAAUCUUAGAUAUAGUCAAGGCUUUUAGAUCAUAACCAGUUAAAAAGAGAAUUUUGUUUGGUAAAAAGGCAAAAUAAUUUGACCACAAAAAAAAGGCAAAAUAGUAAAAGCGCACCCGAUAUUCCUACUACCACACACACCUAACACCAAAUUUAGAAAAGAGGGUCAAAUCCGUAAUUAUAGCACUACUUCUUCUCCGCUUUUAAACCCAACCGCCUUCCUUCCACUUCUCCACUAUCCGAUCUCAGAUCUCUCUCUCUCUCCCUCCAUUUCCCAGAUCUCCCGUCGACCAUAUUCUCCGAGAUGGAUCCAGUCUCAGCCUGGGGAAACACCCCUCUCGUCACCGUCGAUCCAGAGAUCCACGAUCUCAUCGAAAAGGAGAAGCGUCGUCAAUGCCGCGGAAUCGAACUCAUCGCCUCCGAGAACUUCACUUCCUUCGCCGUCAUCGAAGCUCUCGGAAGCGCACUCACCAACAAAUACUCCGAAGGCAUGCCUGGCAACCGUUACUACGGAGGUAACGAGUUCAUCGACCAGAUCGAGAAUCUCUGCCAGUCACGCGCUCUCGAAGCCUUCCGUCUCGAUUCCGCAUCAUGGGGCGUCAAUGUCCAGCCCUACUCCGGAUCUCCGGCCAAUUUCGCCGCCUACACCGCCUUGCUUCAGCCUCACGAUCGUAUCAUGGGCCUCGAUCUACCUUCAGGUGGUCAUCUGACGCAUGGAUACUAUACGUCCGGUGGGAAGAAGAUCUCUGCUACUUCGAUCUACUUUGAGAGCCUUCCGUAUAAGGUCAACUUCACCACUGGUUACAUUGAUUACGAU
rnacentral:lncRNA from 1 species